rnacentral:rRNA from 1 species
UGAGGAAUAUUGGUCAAUGGGCGCAAGCCUGAACUAGCCAAGUAGCGUGCAGGAAGACGGCCCUAUGGGUUGUAAACUGCUUUUAUACGAGAAUAAUUUGAUGCACGUGUGCGUUAUUGCAUGUAUCGUAUGAAUAAGGACCGGCUAAUUCCGUGCCAGCAGCCGCGGUAAUACGGAAGGUCCAGGCGUUAUCCGGAUUUAUUGGGUUUAAAGGGAGUGUAGGCGGUUUGUUAAGCGUGUUGUGAAAUUUAGGUGCUCAACAUUUAACUUGCAGCGCGAACUGUCAGACUUGAGUACACGCAACGUAUGCGGAAUUCAUGGUGUAGCGGUGAAAUGCUUAGAUAUCAUGAAGAACUCCGAUUGCGAAGGCAGCAUACGGGAGUGUAACUGACGCUUAAGCUCGAAGGUGCGGGUAUCGAACAGGAUUAGAUACCCUGGUAGUCCGCACAGUAAACGAUGGAUGCCCGCCGUUAGCGCCUGGCGUUAGCGGCUAAGCGAAAGCAUUAAGCAUCCCACCUGGGGAGUACGCCAGCAACGGUG